AAUGAACGCUGGCGGCAGGCCUAAAACAUGCAAGUCGAGCGCCCUAGCAAUAGGGAGCGGCGCACGGGUGAGUAACACGUGGGAAUAGGCCUUUUGGUACGGAACAACUUUUGGAAACGAAAGCUAAUACCGUAUGGUCCCUUCGGGGUAAAGAUUUAUCGCCAAAAGAUUAGCCCGCGUUGGAUUAGCUAGUUGGUAGGGUAAUGGCCUACCAAGGCGACGAUCCAUAGCUGGUCUGAGAGGACGAUCAGCCACACUGGGACUGAGACACGGCCCAGACUCCUACGGGAGGCAGCAGUUAGGAAUAUUGGACAAUGGGCGCAAGCCUGAUCCAGCCAUGCCGCGUGAGUGAUGAAGGCCUUCGGGUUGUAAAGCUCUUUAGCCGAUGAAUAUAAUGACUGUAGUCGGAGAAUAAGCCCCGGCUAACUUCGUGCCAGCAGCCGCGGUAA
rnacentral:rRNA from 1 species